UUUCCAUCCCCUAUCGGACCCUAUGUCGAUUUAUAUUCUAUCGAAUUUAUUCCCCUUCUUUCGAAUGCAAAGAAUAAAUCAUCUACAAUCACAUAAUAAUUGGCCAAAUAAUUAUGGAAGCAUUCAAAUCAUAUAAAUCAAACAUUUGUCCAAUCGAAACUAAUGUUGAAUUUAUGAAAUAACGGAAAUUUAAAUCAUCAAAAGGUUCAUCAAAUUCCUAAUGAACAAAAA
rnacentral:lncRNA from 1 species